rnacentral:rRNA from 1 species
CCUACGGGCGGCAGCAGUAGGGAAUAUUGCUCAAUGGGGGAAACCCUGAAGCAGCAACGCCGCGUGGAGGAUGAAGGCUCUCGGAUUGUAAACUCCUUUUGUCAGAGAAGAUACUGACGGUAUCUAACGAAUAAGCACCGGCUAACUCCGUGCCAGCAGCCGCGGUAAAACGGAGGGUGCAAGCGUUACUCGGAAUCACUGGGCGUAAAGAGCGCGUAGGCGGGAUAGCAAGUCACAUGUGAAAUCCUAUGGCUUAACCAUAGAACUGCAUUUGAAACUGUUGUUCUAGAGUGUGGGAGAGGUAGGUGGAAUUCUUGGUGUAGGGGUAAAAUCCGUAGAGAUCAAGAAGAAUACUCAUUGCGAAGGCGACCUGCUGGAACAUAACUGACGCUGAUGCGCGAAAGCGUGGGGAGCGAACAGGAUUAGAUACCCGUGUAGUC